rnacentral:rRNA from 1 species
GAUGAACGCUGGCGGCGUGCCUAAUACAUGCAAGUCGAGCGAACAGACGAGGAGCUUGCUCCUCUGGCGUUAGCGGCGGAGGGGAGAGUAACACGUGGAUAACCUACCUAUCAGACUGGGAUAACUUCGGGAAACCGGAGCUAAUACCGGAUGAUAUAUUGAACCACAUGGGUCAAUCGUGAGAGACGGUUGUGCGGUCACUUAUAGCUGGAUACGCGCCGCAUUAGCUAGUUGGUAAGGGAAUGGGUUACCAAGGCAACGAUGCGUAGCCGGCCUGAGAGGGUGAUCGCCUAGAUUGGAAGUGAGACACGGUCCACACACCUGCGGUAGGCCGCAGUAGGGAAUCUUACGCAAUGGGGGAAAGCCUGACGUAGCAACGCGGCGGGAGUUAUGAAGGUCCUCGGACCGUUAAGCUCUGUUAUGAGUGGAGAACAAAUGUGUAAUUAACUAUGCACGUAUUGACGGUACCUAAUCAGAAAGCCCCGGCUAACUACGUG